GCCUGGGUGGCUCAGUUGGUUAAGCGUCUGACUUCGGCUCGGGUCAUGAUCUCACAGUUUGUGGGUUCGAGCCCCGCAUCGGGCU
rnacentral:tRNA from 1 species